rnacentral:misc_RNA from 1 species
UGUUCUGUUUACUCCUUAAAAGAAUCUUGGUUACAUAUCUUGUUGUACACUUAUAUUGAAAUUCAAAGUACAGAGAAAUCAAGAUUCUUUUAAGGAGUAAACAGAACAUCAUAAACACGAAGAGCUUGUAUGUGUAAACUGUAUAAGAAAGAACAAAAAAUUAAUAAAAUAACAUCUUAGCAUAUGAAAAGAGGAGCACCA